UACGAAGGGGGCUAGCGUUGCUCGGAAUUACUGGGCGUAAAGGGCGCGUAGGCGGUCCUGAUCGUCGGAUGUGAAAGGCCUGGGCUCAACCUGGGAAUGGCAUCCGAUACGGCGGGACUGGAGUGUGGGAGAGGUUGGUGGAAUUCCCAGUGUAGAGGUGAAAUUCGUAGAUAUUGGGAAGAACACCGGUGGCGAAGGCG
rnacentral:rRNA from 1 species